GACGAACGCUGGCGGCGUGCUUAACACAUGCAAGUCGAACGGAAAGGCCCUGCUUUUGUGGGGUGCUCGAGUGGCGAACGGGUGAGUAACACGUGAGUAACCUGCCCUUGACUUUGGGAUAACUUCAGGAAACUGGGGCUAAUACCGGAUAGGAGCUCCUGCUGCAUGGUGGGGGUUGGAAAGUUUCGGCGGUUGGGGAUGGACUCGCGGCUUAUCAGCUUGUUGGUGGGGUAGUGGCUUACCAAGGCUUUGACGGGUAGCCGGCCUGAGAGGGUGACCGGGCACAAUGGGACUGAGAUACGGCCCAGACUCCUACGGGAGGCAGCAGUGGGGAAUAUUGCACAAUGGGCGGAAGCCUGAUGCAGCAGCGCCGCGUGCGGGAUGACGGCCUUCGGGUUGUAAACCGCUUUCGCCUGUGACGAAGCGUGUGUGACGGUAAUAGGUAAAGAAGCACCGGCUAACUACGUG
rnacentral:rRNA from 1 species